GAAUCUAAUUCAAAUACAAGAAAGAAAGUCUUGGCUAUGAAAAAAUUAACAAAAAUAGAAAAAAAUGAUAAAGUGUCUCCUAAAAGAUCAGCACCAAAAGAAAUUUUGAACUAUGGGGAGAGUCUUGCAGAUAAA